rnacentral:rRNA from 1 species
GAUGAACGCUGACAGAAUGCUUAACACAUGCAAGUCUACUUGAUCCUUCGGGUGAAGGUGGCGGACGGGUGAGUAACGCGUAAAGAACUUGCCUUACAGACUGGGACAACAUUUGGAAACGAAUGCUAAUACCGGAUAUUAUGACUGAGUCGCAUGAUUUGGUUAUGAAAGCUAUAUGCGCUGUGAGAGAGCUUUGCGUCCCAUUAGUUAGUUGGUGAGGUAACGGCUCACCAAGACGAUGAUGGGUAGCCGGCCUGAGAGGGUGAACGGCCACAAGGGGACUGAGACACGGCCCUUACUCCUACGGGAGGCAGCAGUGGGGAAUAUUGGACAAUGGACCAAAAGUCUGAUCCAGCAAUUCUGUGUGCACGAUGAAGUUUUUCGGAAUGUAAAGUGCUUUCAGUUGGGAAGAAGUCAGUGACGGUACCAACAGAAGAAGCGACGGUAAAUACGUGCCAGCAGCCGCGGUACUACGUAUGUCGCAAGCGUAUCCGGAUUUAUUGGGCGUAAAGCGCGUCUAGGCGGUUUAGUACGUCUGAUGUGACAAUGCGGGGCUCNAACCCCGUAUUGCGUUGGAACACUGCUACAACUAAGUACUGGAGAGGUAGGCGGAACUAACACAGUGUACGAGGUGACCAUACGAACGAUAUCGGCAGGAACUGCCGCUGGG